UUUAAAUGGUAGUUGCCUUUGUUUUGCAUUUACAUUAGUCUAGGACUCGGGAUAAGCGUGCAAUUUCAGUAAAAUAAUAAAUAGUGAGAGUUGACUGCGUAGAAGGCACACAGGGUGUUAUGUUUAACCAGCUACGUGCAACCGAAUGUUGAAAAAAAAUUGGUGUCUGUCCCUCUUUGGAAAAAGUUGUUACUUGAGCAACUCUGGAGUGACCUCCAGUGUUCUUUGUGCAGGCUGCAAGUAAAGAGCUCACAGUACCUCUUGCAGGUACCUCGUGCAAAAGGUGCGGCUCUGAGUACUUUGCUACAUCAAUUUUUGAAGAUGAGCAGUGAUCCAAAAGGGCUCGCAGCCUUCAGCCUGGAUACUGAGCUAGGGAAUCUCAACAGUAUCUAAAAAAGACACUAAACCCCAGGCAUACGAGCCUAAAGUAAAACACUGAGGUUUCUGAACCGGAAUAAUGCCUGUUGCCAAGUGCUGGAGAGCCUCUGCAUGUCCAAGCGUUUAAUUAAUAAAGCAUACUAUCUGCUGUACAUAAUCCUAGUUUUGAAGACCUUAAAGCCUGAGAUACUUGGCUGCCUUUAAGAGCCUGAGGCAGCUUGGGUAGGAUAGAGCUUCCCAAUCUGCGUGGGUCCUUUCCCAGGCGUCGAAGAGGACGGUCCUUGUUCCCGGUGGGCACGUCAGCGUACCUGUUUCAGAAUGGUGUGGGACGUUCUCCAGGAGUACUGUCCUGUAGCCAUUAAGCAGCCCUGAAGCUUGUGUGUUUUAUACAUACAUUUACUACAUUUUUAUGAAAACAGAAAGAAGGCUACAUUUCCUACUCAAGAAAGACAUUCCCAGUGAAAAUUCCAAAAGAUAGUUUGAAGAAACAAACCUAGAGCAAUGGAGAUCUUGAGAUUUGUGUCCAUAUGUGGAUCCCAAGAAGAACUAAGGAUGAGUUUAGGAACUUCAGGCACUGCUGUUUCAUUUCUUACACUUACGAUGAUAUGAAUAAUUUUGCAAUUUAAGCUUCUAAACUGCUAAUUUCAUACUGCAUGCUUUCUCAGUAGUAGGGGGAAUUAGUACCUUGUCAGCAGAAUGUUUUUAAAGAGUUGUCCCUUGAAAUAAUAUUAUUUACUGUUUGUAUAGAAUUAUAUCUUACGGAUUCAAUAUAGUUCUGACAAGCUUGAUUAAAUAAUAAUGUACAAAUGUGAAGUGUAUUAGCUCUGUUCAGUGCUUCUAUUAAAAGUAAAUAAAUCAGUAAAGCAACUGAAAA